GAUGAAGAACGUAGCGAAAUGCGAUACGUAAUGUGAAUUGCAGAAUUCAGUGAAUCAUCGAGUCUUUGAACGCACAUUGCGCCCCCUGGUAUUCCGGGGGGCAUGCCUGUCCGAGCGUCAUUGCUGCCCUCAAGCACGGCUUGUGUGUUGGGCCUCCGUCCUCCUCCCGGGGGACGGGCCCGAAAGGCAGCGGCGGCACCGCGUCCGGUCCUCGAGCGUAUGGGGCUUCGUCACCCGCUCUUGUAGGCCCGGCCGGCGCUUGCCGACACAUCAAUCUUUUUUCCAGGUGGACCUCGGAUCAGGUAGGGAUACCCGCUGAACUUAAGCAUAUCAAUAAGGGAGGA
rnacentral:misc_RNA from 1 species